ACCAGCAGCAUCGCCGUCGCUAGAGCUCCGCUUGGCCUCAUACUGUCGCGCAGCAUCACCGUACACACAAUACCUGUAGCCUCUGAUAAAAAC